rnacentral:rRNA from 1 species
UACGUAGGAGACGAGCGUUGUCCGGAGUUACUGGGCGUAAAGAGCUCGUAGGUGGUUUGUCGCGUUGUUCGUGAAAACCGGGGGCUUAACCCUCGCGUGCGGGCGAUACGGGCAGACUUGAGUACUGCAGGGGAGACUGGAAUUCCUGGUGUAGCGGUGGAAUGCGCAGAUAUCAGGAGGAACACCGGUGGCGAAGGCGGGUCUCUGGGCAGUAACUGACGCUGAGACGCGAAAGCGUGGGGAGCAAACAGGAUAGAUACCCAGU